rnacentral:lncRNA from 1 species
AAACGAGCUUGGGCAAACACCUUUCUGACGCCAUCAACAAACUUGGCACAAGCGUCCAUGUUUUCAAGAGAUCUGGUUUCAAAAGCACAUAGAUCUCAGCAGCCUCCCCAGAAGCAGGCUUAGUGGAUUUCUCACAGCUGUCUACACGAGCAGUCUCCUUAUUCCCAGCAGGCGAAUCAGUCUCAGCAGCAUAAGGAAUGGGCCUUGGCGCCACUUUAGCAGCAGAGUCCACCUU